AUGCUAGCCCCAAACCGAACACCGCAAAUGUCCUUUUUCACGUCCGGACGUGGUCCGCGGACAUUAUGCGAAAGAGAGUCAUCCAAUGCUUAUUCACAAAUUAACCUCAAUUGUCCGGUUGGAGGGAGAGAGACGAGAGGGAGACCAUACAUGUGGUUGGAUCAGAGUUUUGAUUUUUGGACGGAUUUUUUUGGAUUUCAGCCAUCUCGGCCUAGGGUGAAGAAAAUCUCUUUCGGGCAAAUAAUUUUGGCCCAGUCAAAUUUUGUUCAAAAAAAAUCAAAUUUCAGUUCUGCAAUUUCAUCCGAGGUUUGGAAGAAAUUUUUGUAA
rnacentral:rRNA from 1 species